rnacentral:sRNA from 1 species
AAUAAGCCUGCGUUAAGGAUUGAAGCGGCAUCCUUUUUUCCGAGUUCGAGUGAAUUUGCUUUUUUGCAAAUUUGUAUCGAGAACUCAGAAAAAAGAUAUAGCGAAAAGCCUGACCUGAA